rnacentral:rRNA from 1 species
UACGUAGGGUGCAAGCGUUGUCCGGAAUUAUUGGGCGUAAAGAGCUCGUAGGCGGUCUGUCGCGUCGGCUGUGAAAUCCCGAGGCUCAACCUCGGGUCUGCAGUCGAUACGGGCAAACUAGAGUAUUGCAGGGGAGACUGGAAUUCCUGGUGAGCGGUGAAAUGCGCAGAUAUCAGGAGGAACACCCGGUGGCGAAGGCGGGUCUCUGGGCAAUAACUGACGCUGGAGGAGCGAAAGCGUGGGGGAGCGAACAGG